rnacentral:rRNA from 1 species
UACGUAGGGUGCGAGCGUUGUCCGGAAUUAUUGGGCGUAAAGAGCUCGUAGGCGGUUUGUCACGUCUGCUGUGAAAAUCCAGGGCUUAACCCUGGACCUGCAGUGGGUACGGGCAGACUAGAGUGCGGUAGGGGAGAUCGGAAUUCCUGGUGUAGCGGUGAAAUGCGCAGAUAUCAGGAGGAACACCGGUGGCGAAGGCGGAUCUCUGGGCCGUAACUGACGCUGAGGAGCGAAAGCAUGGGGAGCGAACAGG